GACGAACGCUGGCGGCGUGCUUAACACAUGCAAGUCGAACGGUAAGGCCCUUCGGGGUACACGAGUGGCGAACGGGUGAGUAACACGUGGGUGAUCUGCCCUGCACCUCGGGAUAAGCCUGGGAAACUGGGUCUAAUACCGGAUAGGACCACUGCCUGCAUGGGUGGUGGUGGAAAGCUUUUGCGGUGUGGGAUGGGCCCGCGGCCUAUCAGCUUGUUGGUGGGGUGAUGGCCUACCAAGGCGACGACGGGUAGCCGGCCUGAGAGGGUGACCAGCCACACUGGGACUGAGAUACGGCCCAGACUCCUACGGGAGGCAGCAGUGGGGAAUAUUGCACAAUGGGCGCAAGCCUGAUGCAGCGACGCCGCGUGAGGGAUGACGGCCUUCGGGUUGUAAACCUCUUUCAGCACCGACGAAGCGCAAGUGACGGUAGGUGCAGAAGAAGGACCGGCCAACUACGUGCCAGCAGCCGCCGUAA
rnacentral:rRNA from 1 species